GGUUAUCUUUUGCAUAUGGUGCCUACUUAGAUAUUUUGGAGUGGCCAAAUUUUAAUCUUUGUGUUUCAAUAGUGAAUUUAAUCUUUUUUUAUUUGUAGUUGUAUAUGAAAUAUUUAGUCAUAUGAGCAUCACUGCAUGUCAUGCUCUGUUUAUUUCAUGCUUUCUUUGUUUCUUUUUCACUUGUCUUUCUCUAUACAGAUACUGUUUUUGCUUAGUUUCUGUUUUUGCCACCCUCUUUUUAUGUUUCUAGUGAUUACUUAAAAUUCACAUUUAAAAUGUACUAAGAAAGAUAGAUAGAUAAAUAGAGAUAGAUAGAUAGAUAGAUAGAUAGAUAGAUAGAUAGAUAGAUAGAUAGAAAACAUCUAUUGACCUCUAUGAAAGAUGAGAAACCUAGCAGGCUUUACUUCCUCAUCUCCUGCCAUCAACCCCAUUCCACCUCUUUUUAAUAAAAGAUCAUCUGCAUUCUUAGGUCCCAUUUGGUAUUAAUGCAUAAUAUGCAGCUUCCCUUAAAUUUUUUAAAAUACUUGCAUGAAUUUUUAAGCUGUUGCUCAAAUAAAGCAAUGUUCAAAUAGUUUCAAGGCUUACUGGCUGACAUUUUAUACCACAACUUCCUCAUUUUUGUGAUCUCUAUUUUAAUUAAUCUCUUAUUUGGUAAAUUUUUGUUUGUUUGUUUUUUUAAUCAGAAGUGAAUGUUGACAGUGUAUUUUCUGAAAGUCUGCAUACGAGAAAAGAAAUUUCUGUUGCCAAAUCACAUGACCAAUAAUCUGCCUGGUAUGGGAUUUUUCAGUGGCAAUAUUAUUUCUCAAAAAUACUAUUUUUCUGUUUUGUUCCCAGGCAUCUAGCAAUGGAGGGUUAAUUCUUAUGCCCUGCUGGGUUAUGAUAUUAACCUUUUGAAAACAUAUUUUAGGUCAUAGAUCCAGUUGUCCUCAGAAAAAAAGUGAGGUUAUCAGAUCCCUGCAUAAUUCAAGCAGUGCCUUUGCCUCUCUACUAAUUCUUCCCUGUUGUCUCUGAGUAACAGGCUAUGGCUAACUGGCUGCUCAUACCAGAGAGAGGGCAUGGCAACACUGGGGUCUAUCUGCAUCAGGAGCCAAUCUUCAUGCUUUCAACUCUCCACUUGGUUUGAACUGCCUAUGACCACAACAAAUCCUGCCACCUUCUAAAUCUAUUGGUGGAGCCCCAAACCACAUGUCUGAAAAAGAGAAAAGCAAUUCAGGUGUCAUCCUACAAGUCUACUUUGCCUGCAUCAUUCCACUCCUGAUUUAAGUAAUAAAAAUAUUUCACUUCCUAUCCUCUUUCCAUACUCAUGCAUAUUUCUUUUUUUUUUUUUUUUUUUUUUUUUUUUUUUUUUGUCUUUUUGCCUUUUCCGGGGCUGUUCCCUCGGCAUAUGGAGUUCCCAGGCUAGGGGUCUAAUCGGAGCUGCAGCCACUGGCCUACGCCAGAGCCACAGCAACACAGGAUCCGAGCCGCGUCUGCAACCUAUACCACAGCUCACGGCAAUGAUGGAUCCUUAACCCACUGAGCGACACCAGGGAUCGAACUUGCGUCCUCAUGGUGUGGCCCUAAAAAAAAAGAAAAAAAAAUCCUGUCUGAAUAAUUUCUCUUCAAAGUAUAGAUUGAAAAUUUCUAUUUUGAAUUGAUCAGUAAAAACCAAGACAACUUAACCCUUUUAACAAAGGUUUUGUUUCUGUGGUAUUUUAUCUUCUUGAAUCUUUAUGUGGGUUUUUUGAGCUUUUUUAUGACUUUGAACAUAGUUAUUUCUAUUUAUCAAUGUGAAUUUGGUUUUUUAAAUUUUAUUAAAGUAUAAUUGAUUUCCAAUGUUCCUUCAAUUUCUGCUGUACCGCAAAGUAACUCAGGCACAUAUAUAUAUUUUAUAUAUAUAUAAAAUUUUCCACACUAUCUUCUGUCAUGUUCUAACACAAGAGACUGUAUACAGUUCCUUGUGCUAUACAGGAUGACACCUUACCUAUCCGUUCUAAAUGCAAUAGUUAACCUCAAACUCCCCAUCCAUCCCCUUAUUGAGUGCAUAUUUCAGCCAUAAUUUUUCCCAAGAUUUUCAUGUGUGCUACCUCACUUCAUCUAAGAGGGCCCCCCAAGACAAGAUCAUUAUCAUUGUUUCAUGGAUGAAAAAACUGAGACCAGACAGCUCUCAAGUUCAUCUCACUGUCAAAUGAACUUCUACUACAAGCAUUCUGGAUGGACGGGGAAAGAGAGACCCAAUCAUGAGUACGAAAAUAUUGGCCUAGCACAUAGUGAUGCUAUGAAAAAAAUAUAGGCAUGUUUUAUUUUAUUUAAAUAAAUACCACUGUUAGGCACUGUUCUAUUUGUAAAUAAAUAUCCAUAAUGAACAAAUAUCAACUCAUUUAAUUUGCAGAACAUGGUGAGAUAAGUACUAUUAUUAUCUCCACUUUACAGAUGAGAGAACUGAGGCACAGAGAAAUGAUAACAUGUUCCAGUAAACUCAGUGAGUGAUAAAGUAGAAUUUCAGAUCCCAGCAGUCAGGCUUCAGUGUCCAUGCUCAUCAUCAUCAUGCUAAAAAUCAAGGUUAAGAGAGCAGAAACAAGUCUCUACAGAGCAUUAACAAGUAAUGCGAUGCUUCAUAAUGCUUUCUGCAGAUUUGAGGGUUUUGAUGUUUGCAUAUAGCUUAUCUCAUUGAGAAUAACAAUGCUCUAUGCACUUCUGCUCAGGUUUUUCAAAAGUAUGAUAAAGGAUGAGAAUCAAUGACUGGCAAGGGAAAUUAAAAUGAAUGUCCAUGGGCUCUCUUGCUUGGGAAGGAUAUUUUCGAAAAAUGUAUUAUUCAUUUGGGGGAUGACAACAUCUGAGUGAACACCAUCCAUCAAAUAUUAAAUUUGAAAUGCAAAGGGUAUCCAGGAUAUACACUAUCCAGAAGUAUUUUCCUGCAGAAAAAUGUUAAAUCAUCCAAAAUUCUAACCUGAAGAUACUACUUCUUUCACACUAAUAAAGAGUUGUUUAUUUUGAAAAAAGUAAAAUAAAUUCCAUCUCAUGUGAUACACUGUUAAAGGUGGCUCCAGAAAAUGUAUUUUAUGCAUUUGUUUUUAUUAUAGUUGAUUUACAACGUUCUGUCACUUUCUGCUGUACAGCAAAGUGACCCAGUCACACACACACACACACACACACGCAUAUUUUUUUUCUCACAUUAUCCUCCAUCAUGUUCCAUCACAAGUGACUAGAUAUAGAUCCCUGUGCUAUACAGAAGCACCUCAUUGCUUACUCACUCCAAAUGCAAUAGUUUGCAUCUACUAAUCCCAAGCUCCCAGUCCAUCCCAUUCCCUUCCCCUUCCCCUUGGCAACCACAAGUGUGUUCUCCAUGUCCAUGUGUUUGUUUCUUUUAUUUAGAAAGGUUCAUUUGUGCCAUAUAUUAGAUUCCAGAUACAAGUGAUCUCAUAUGGUAUUUGUCUUUAAAUUUAUUCUUUUCAUUUUUCUCCAUUUUUGUGGCUCCCUGCUUGUCCUUGGGAAUUUGUUUCUUUAACCACUUUAUCAGUCGGUGUCUGCCCCCUGUGGUAAACUGAGGAGUCAGCAGUCUUCUGUGUUUUUCAGUUCAGGUUACAGAAUGUGCUUGUUGAGAACCUUAGAAUUUCAGGAGCUUUUUAGGGUGUGGCAGGGCCAGGAGAGGAUUAGGGGAGGGGGACACAGCACUCAGAAUGUCCCAUGCUUCUGAGGGAGCUAGAAUAUUGCAGGGCCCCACUGUGGCAUAUUUCCUGGGCACCUGUGACCACAGCUGUGAAAACGCUGAUGCAGGAAAUAAUCACUGUGGGUUACAGAGCUUGUGACUUCCGUGGGAAACCUUAGGUGUUUAAUAUUUUACCUCAUUUACAAAUGGCUUUUAAAUUACCUAGUUAAAAUUCAGUUAUGCCAACAAAUAGAAUGCCUUUUUUGGUCCAUAAUGCUACUAUUCAGGCAGUGUCUUUAUUAAAAUUUGUUGAUACAACAUAUAUAUGUGUAUGUAUGUAUAUAUGUGUGUGUGUGUAGGUAUAUAUAUGUAUGUGUAUAUAUACAUAUAUGGAAUACAUUCAUAAGCAGUCUGGAGAGAAUAUGAGGUUAAAGGAGGUGGCGAAGCAAAAAUUGGAGUUCCCUUGGUAGCUCAGUGGAAACAAAUCUGACUAGUAUCCAUGAGGAUGCAGGUUCAAUCCCUGGCCUUGCUCAGUGGGUUAAGGAUCCAGCGUUGCUGUGAGCUGGGGUGUUGCUCAGACGUGGCUCAGAUCUGGCGUUGGCUGUGGUGUAGGCCUGUGGCUACAGCUCUGAUUUGACCCCUAGCCUGGGAACUUCCAUAUGCUGUGAGUGCAGCCCUAAAAAGACCAGAAAAAAAAAAAAAGAAGGAAGAAUGUAUCAAUGCUGACUCUGAAUGAAUUUAUUUCACCACUACUCAAGAGUUUCUGCUUUGUUUUUUACUAAGACAACAUUCUAGUUAUGGUGAAAUACCAUUGACUUCACCUUGGGAAUGGAAUUAAAAUACCUGAUUCAAAUUAAAUGUAAUGGGAAGAAGCAGGCUAGCUCAUAGC
rnacentral:lncRNA from 1 species